GCACCAGUGGCGGAAUUGGCAGACGCGUAUGAUUCAGGUUCAUAUGGGGCGACUCGUGCAGGUUCAAGUCCUGUCUGGUGCACCA
rnacentral:tRNA from 1 species